UUUCCAGGAAGUAUCAGGGUGGUGCCGACAUGUGGGAAAAAGUUACAAGGGAAAAACCAACCUUUUUCUCAAUAGAACGUUCAGAUUUCAAUGCAUUCCUAUGGGAUUUUCAGCAACAUGUCUUCAACUUGAUUUUUCUCAAAAUGUAUAUGUUUUAAAAUUGACUAAAUAUACCUUAUUUUGAAGAAAACAACCUACUCUUUCAUUUAAGAUAUGUCUCCCGGUGGUGCCGACCUUCUAUGAAAGGUUUGGUCCUCCAUAAAAAUGAGCAACGGACAGCGACGUUGAAGAGAACUGUUCAACAUCGAGUGAGCAGAGCGUUGAAGAUUCUUCGUGGUGAUCUGCUGCCCAUCAUCAACAGUGUUGGGAACUUCUGUGUGCUUCUUCUUACUUCCUGCUAUAACAACCAUUCUCCAUUCCACAAAUAUAGCUGUUGUUUCAACUCAUUUGUCAAUUGUGUACAGCAAUCAAGUGCCAAGAGUGGGUUUUCAUUCAAACAACCACUAUACCAGCUGAUUUUACAAUUGAGUUGCUGCUCUUUAUUAAACGGGACCCACAAAGUGAAAUCAGAUGGUGUAGUCGUGCUUGGUUACGUAAAUGUUUUACAAAGUUAUGUUAAAAAAAAAUUAGCACGGUAGGCAAUUUGGUGACAACCUGGCUGGUGUGUCAUUGACUAUCCAAUGUUAUCAAUCCAUAUAGCCUCCCUAUUAUAAUUGCACAUCCUCAUUACAAUUUCCAGAGGGCUUCUCUCAUGUCUCAUGACUGUCAAUACAUCUGCCAUCUUACAAGUUUAAUGCAGUUGACUGGCUUGAUAUUGCACAGGUUUUGCAUCCCUUAUGUAAGAGCCAUUUUCAUUGGUUUAUAUUUCGCAUCAAUUUGCACACAUCGCAACACUCAUGGGAAUGUAAAAAUGUUUGUUGAUGGAGCUUGAUGGACACAUGUACUUGCAUGUUCAAUGGAAGAACAUUGUGAUCAAUAAAGGGCCAUCAAAACACGGACAACAAGGAGUCAGUAAUUUCAACUGCCAGCUACGGAGCGGCGUACGGUAGAAGAAAGCGCGUCAGCUAGUUAUAGGCAUAUACAGUUUUAAGUCUGUAUAGCAGCCCCUAAGUGGCCUUAAGUUGUAGUCUUGGCCAUUAUCCAUAAACUGACUUUUUAAUCACACAUUGUGGUGCUAAUUGUGUGUUAUUGUUUAAGCACCCACAUGUGGCUGCACAGAAUUUGCCAACCAUGGUUUCUGAUGUUGUAUUAUGGGGUAGAAUGGUGUAUAAUUGGCCUUGUGUAUAUCAGGGUGAAGGCUAUGAAUGCAGGUAGGCCUAUGAGUGUGACCAUUGACAUUGUCUUACAAUACAAAGUGUAGCACACAAUGAGGGUUAAGGAAAAUGUUCCGAUGACACAGGUUAUUACUGGAUAAGAGUCGGCUAAAUUACAAUGUUAUUAACGUAGGUAGACUAUUAAAUAUGCAAGCUGUCUUUUGAACACUCGAUGUCCA